GUUCCUGUCCAGAGCUGUGCAGUCAGAUGUGUAUUGGGCAGAAAAAAAAAAUAAAGGUAGCCUAUCCUCUCGUUGCUUUCGCUCGCCUUUCUCUCGAGCGCUCUCUCUCUCUCUCUCUCUCUCGAUCCUCUCUCCACCUCUCGGCCGCCGGCCUUCCGGCCAUUGUCGGCGGUCUCCGGCUCCGCCCAACACUCCCUCGUGUUAUCCUUCAUCCGACCUAUCUGCUCCGCCAACUCGAUUCGACGCUCGCCUCCUUCUCUUGCGCUCGUGGCUAACCCUAGCCGCCACUAUCGCCGGCGCACGGUGCCGUCUUGGACGCCGGCGCGACUCCGACGCCUCCUUGCACUCCUCCUCGAUGCCUCCUGCCCGCUCUCCCGUGUCACCGAGGCCGUCAAGCGCGAGGGCAUGCACUCCCGGUGGCAGCGAUGAUUUCCGAUCUGCGCCAUCUUCAAGGGCGCGGAGCAACGGAGGUCGGCUCCUUCUUCUCCCCGGUCACGCGUCGGGAGAGGAGUCAGCCCCCUUGUGUUUCUGCGCCAAGGUCAGCAACGGGGACGCUCGUUGACCGUCCUCUUCUUCGCCAUGGCCUGUCGAGGCCGGCAAGGAGGUCUCCAGCAUGCUCGAGGCCGCCGCCCCCGAGCUCAAAGAGAACUCGUUGAAGAUAAUCCAUGCCACCGCGUGGCUUCGAUCUCCAUCAUCUGCGUCGUUCUCGUCCUAUUGGAGCGAGCUGGGACCAAGCUCGAACAGUUUGUCGUGGAAAGAGAAGAGUGAGACUAAUAAGAUGGAUAUAUUCAAUGACAACGGUGGGAUGAAGUCAGGAAGUCACUCAAUCUGGAUGUGCGAGCCAUUAUAAGUGUAGCUGUUUUCAUUGGCCGAAGUACCAUCAUGCCUGAUAUGCAUGGCUCUUGGCCACUGCAGGACAAUGCUUAUUGACAAAUUUUUGCUUUGGGAAACAUUUCCAUUAUGCUGCCUGAGAUGGAUUCUUCAUUAUGCUGUCUUUGAAUUCCCACCAAAUUCAGUCGCAGAAGCUCAAAUGCGAAGGACGUCAAACUUCCUGGUUACAUUGCAAAGUUUAGUUACUGUUUGGUCCAAGAAAGAGUUUGUUUAGUCAUAUUCAGUGGAGCAACAAGCUUAUAUCGCUGCAGCAAUAGGGUUAUGUUUGGAGAACAUGUCAAAAGAAGAAUUAGAAAUGAAUAGAGAUGUAUUAAAUUAUAUUCUUCAAGGAGUAAGCUGUAGGUUAGAGAGCCCAAUUGAUUUAGUCCGGAAGAUGGCAAGUGCUGUUGCAUUGACAUUUUCUAAAGUCGUUGAUCCAAAAAAUCCUCUUUACCUUGAUGAUGACUGUUAGAAUGUUGACUGGGAGUUCGGGGUUCUCUCUCCAAAGGAGAUCACAGCUCCUUCGCAUGAUGUAGAGUUUGGAAGCAAAUCAAAACCAUCCAUGUAAGAACUGGAAACAUGCUGGUGACAAAAAGGGAAAGACUAUCAAGCAUGAUAUUUCAGAUAACAGAGUAAAAAUCGUAGAGAUCAAGUCAAAACUAGAUUCUGAUGAAAUGUCUGGCGCUGCUAUAAAUCUUGAGGAACACUAUGACAAGGAAAGCAUUAACAUUGAUGCUUCCAGUGAUUCAUCCCUGGAGCGGUAUGAUCUGUCAGAUGAUGAUACUGAUUUGCAGAAGAAUUUCACACAUCUAAGUGAUCUUGCAGCUGCACUGCGAAAACCUGACGAUCUAGAUGGUGGUUGAAAGCGCUCUUAGUUCUACCGAAAAGCUUGUGAGAGCAUCACCUGAUGAGAUGCCACUGCUCGGGUGAUCUUGUUCAAGCACUGGUACAUGUUUGUUAUUCUGAUGUCGCGAUGGAAGGCGACAUAAGGCAUUAGUCGCUUUGCUGGCCAUAGAUAAAAUUCGACAAGAGAAGAAAUGUGUGCAGCAGAGGAACCAAGAUGCCAAAGGUUCAAAGCGGUGUUGUGCUGAAAAAACCAGGACAAUGUAAGAGGCUUAGCUUUGUGAGAGUAAUCCCAGGAUCUGUGUUGGCAAUGUCCUUUACUGGUGGUCUAAGAGUUUGAGACCCAAUAGAAUUUUUUUGGAUUUGGCGAGGUUCACGGAUGAUAUAAUUGAGUUACAUUUGAAUAGUCAGAGCUUAUAUGUGAUCCAGGGACCUCCUGGUCUAAAUGGAUUCCUAAUGCAUCAGAUAAUCCAAGCGGUGUUCAUAAGGAAGAGGCUCUGUCGAGUUGCGGCAGUCUUCUCGUUAGCACGAGAACGACCACAAGUCAUUCCAUGACCGUGGAUGCGAGUUCCUACAAGAAACCCAUUCUCGGUGCCCUGUGACUGGGUUUCUCUACGAGCAGUAUAAUCGAUAUCCGAUAGAAUACAAAAAUUACGGGACGAGGAGCUGCAACCGCAGCUUGCUGAGCUAUUGCAUGGCUUUGCAAGAACUAGGAAGCUAACGGGAGAGUCUCAUGAAUCAAGUGACAGAUAACGUUUGAGGCAAAUUCCUUCACCUGCCCUGCUGAUGGGAAAUUCUGCAAUGAUGCCCAGCGGCACGCCACUCUCAAGCUAGAGGUCAAGCUUAGGAACUGUAGGUCCUGCUUCGUGAGCUACGUCAGCGCUCAGAAAGCAUACAUCGAAACCCUUGAUGGCUGAUUGUCCAAGUUCAUCCUGACGGACACCAUUCGUUACUCCCGGGGGAUCUCCUCGAUCGCGCUCGACAGGGCCGGCGCUCUGCCCCUGGCGGUGAUAACGAGUGGUACACCAUGUUGUCGACAACCGGAUCCUCCUCAACACUGACUCCGGCAUAGGUAUUCCUAUGCUCUGCUCUGCUCUCUCUCUCUCUCUCUCUAAUGCCACUGGGCCGUGUUACUGUCCACUCGACGUAUAACUGAUGCUUCAAAUGUUAGGCAUGAUAUAAGUAAAUCCUGUUUCCUUUGAAGAGAUAGAUUUUCACAUGAAGGAUGGCAUUACGGCAGUAGGAACACUCUCUUGUGUUGUUUGAUGUAACAUGUCGGGUUUCCACUGGCAUUAUACAUAUUUGGGGCUGGCGAGCAAAUUUAUGGUGAACAAUUUUUGUAUACACCUUUACCCAGCUAGCAAAAAAAUAAUCUUUUCCAUUUAGUAUUCCUAUGUCAACACAACCAUGAGUGUAACUUCUUUUGGAAAUGAUGUUAUUUACUACAAUGCUACCCUCCCAUCUCCUCGGAUUGGAGGGUUAAACAGAAAAUUUGCAAGAGAAUGGUACACCAUGACGAUGUACACUGAAUUGAAGAUCCCCAGAAAGUGGAAAUCCGCCCGCUUCCAACUGAUGAUAAAAUUCUUGCAAUUGAGUAUCAAAUUGAUGGUAGUAAGCUCCAAGAAGAAGAGGUGCAUUGUGCUCAUCAGCCUGAGAAAAGUGUAACAUCCAACCACAAUCUAGAAAAUAGGCAUACAAAUUCGAAGAGGAAACCGAAAGAUGAAGAUGCAACAAUACUUGAGAGCUCAAGGGUUGAGUGCCCAACAUACCCAAAGAUGGCACCCGAUACGCGCCCGUAGCCAGAACCAACGAAGUUGCAGUACAAGAAGCUGGGAGAUUCAGAUCUCCUUAUCGUCGAGAUAACUCUUGGAACAAUGAUCUUUGGAGAACAAAGCACAGAUAUGGAAUCACAUGAUAUGCCCUCUUAUUCUUUUGGUCAGGGCAUCAACAUACUCGACGCCGUAGAAAUUGUUACCCAAUCCAACCCAAGAAGAAGACUCAAGGGAGGACUGAUCUAUAUGUAGGCAGGUAGACGAAAUCCAAGAUAAAGUACCCUAAACCGACCUUAUUUGUUUACAGUUUCCGCGUCCAUUUGUACUUCCCUGAUUUCCACUUCACAUGCUUCCGAAUCCAUUUGUAGUUCCCUGCCCACUAUGUUUCCGACCAGAUAAUUUUGGCCACCAAAAUUUAUGGUUAUUUAGAUCGCAAUUUUCUUUGGGAUAAUACAAAAAAGGUGUGUGUUGAUGCUCCCAAUAUAAAGAGUCAGACUUUUCUCAUAAAAAAUCAGGGAGAUAAAAUUUCUUUUGGAAUGUUACCAGUUUGGCUUGCUUUUGUACUGAACCAAGAUGAAGAUGAAUCAAGAUGGAUGAUGUUUACCAAACUGAAGCUUCAAAUAUGAGGCUUGAUGAUCGUGUUUGUGUUGUGUGACGUUACAAUGCUGGGUUCUUAGAUGUUAUGAAGUUUCAAAGUGUUCUACUGCUACCUAUUUCCUACUCGCUCCGUUUCUUUUGUAAGGCAUAUUUUGAUUUGUUCAGAUAAUACUUUGAAUAAUAAUUCAGAAAGUAUGUUAUGAACAUAUUCUAAAAAAUAGUCUUGGUGUAAAUUGCAAAUUGGUUUCCAUCUAAUGGCAGCUCUCCCUCCCUUUUUCAUCCAUCUUUUUGUAGAUGGCAGGGUAAUGUAUCAUACAUUCACACUGGAAUUGAUUCUGUUCAAAGUGUAUUCACUUUUUUCUUUCUUUCUUAUUGAUCCAUCAAGGAAUGGCUGUAAUGAAUAUUUUAUAUCUCUACAUCCAAGAGAGCAAAGAGAUCCUAAUGUUUUAGUGUAUGUCCAUAUUAAUGUAUGAGGUGAGACUGAGGAUCAAAUAUGGCAGCCGAAUAUGCGGAGACAAGAUAAGUGCGCAAAGGCCCGCCUCAGGAGGCGCCACAAGGUGGCGCCCCAAUCUCUAGUACAACCCAAUAACGGUGGCGCAAAGAGCGCAUCCUGGCGACGUCCACGUCGGAUUAGCUAGAAGACAAAGAGGUUUACUUCGACAAGAAAGAGAGAGAGGGAUUGACCAGCGAUGAGAGAAAGGGAUUGGCCCCCAGUCCCCAUUCCCCGAUUCUUCUCCCUCUCCCUUGUCGCCGCCGCCGCCAUCGGCGACCUCCCUGCAGCCGCCGCCAUCAGCCACGCCCUCCCCAACGGCUGACUCUCCCACCCUUUUUCUCCUCACCAUCAACGACCUCUCCUCCCCCUCGCACCAGAUCGAGCAACAUGUCGGGCAGGGCAGAGCGGAGCAGAGAUGGGAGGAGACGGGCAGACGGCGGCGGCGGCGUCCUCCUCGCCCAUCGGCGCGCAACACCUGUCAGAGCCCCGUCGGCUCCGUCGAUCUGCCAGACCUAGGUCGCCGGUGUGGCUGCUGUCUCAGGCGAGAAGAGGAGUGGUCGCGUUAAGACACGGGGAGGGGGAGCAGCCAACCGUGCUCAAGGCCGUCCGUGGCGGCUGCAAAUCGAGGCGGCGGCUACAAAUUGAAGGUCAGUGCACGGCGGCCCUCUCUCCUUCUCAUCCCCUCUCGCUCGAGAGAAAGUUGCGGACAUAUUGGCGGUGGCCUGUCCGCGGCGUCGUCCUCAGCCAGAGAAGGGGAGAGGAGGGAGAGGGAGAUGGUGAGUCCACGGAGAAGCGCCACCGGGAGCAGAUCCGGCCAUCGGCGGCAAGAAAGGCCACGCCCCCCUCUACCUCCGUACCGUCACCCAGGUUCAGGCAUAGCAUACUGAUGCAAUUGAGGUGCAUCCGCUGGUGCCGAACAAACAACAUAAAAGCCAUCUUCAGCACCAAACCAUCUAUGCAUCGAUUGGUUAAUUAUCAAGUGGUCUUUGUUCUAUCAGUUUAUUUGUUGUUAGUCUAACAUUUAGUGAAGUGCCAAGACUGAUUAUUAAUUAUUAAUUAGCAACGAAAAACUCCAUGUUUAUAUGUAUACUUUUUUAUGAUUGACACCAACAUGUUUGUUUGCGUCAAAUUCAGCAUGAUUUUCUUACUGGCAAGUCUCCAUCUUCUUCAAACUAUAUAACACAAUCAGAUCUUUACUUUCAACAUUCACCCAACUGGACACUGUUAUUUCUAUUGCAAAAAAGAAAGGAUUUUGUCGUGGAAUGUUCCAGUCAAUUGUUGAAAUGUACUGAAGAAUAUUUUGUUAUCGACACUCCCUUUUCCUAUGUAGUAGACGCCUCUAGUAAUUGUGGCACACAGCUGCAUAUUACUCAUGCAACUAGAAGUUCAUUUGUGUGAUAAUGUUUGCUUAUGUUUACAUGCCCAGUUGACAAAUAUUCCAAAACUUAUAUAGGGUGUUACUUUUCCUUGGUUGCUCAGUGACUGAAUGAACUGGUGCGUUCUACUAUGGCUGGAAGUAGGCAAGGUGGACUAAUCGCGGGAGCUUCGGCUGCAAUGAUGUUUGCUGGAUUGAAUGGUUACUUGGAAAGUACUGGUCAAAUCAUGGAAGUCUCGAAGAAGAUACUAAAAGAGUAAAAAACUGUUUGAAUAUCGUGCUUGAAAGGUUUCUAAAAAGUACACACCGAUCUGUAUAAGGACUGACGCUAGCAGGGGUUUGCCGAGCAUUUUCCAAAUAAAAAUGUUUCUAUACAAGCCUUUGUGAUGCGGGUUGAGGAGGAAGAUGACUCGGAAGAGGAAGAUCACAGAUCAUGAGCUAUACAAUACUAAUCCAUGGGUUUGCUCCUACUCCCCUCUUCCACCAGAUUUUCCCCAGUGAAUCAUGUAAUGGAGGACCAGUGCUUCAUCGAGUCCAUCCCGCCCCUUGGCACUGCCAUUGGCGUCUUCAACAACCUCGCUGAGUACGACGUAGCAUGCUUCGACGCAUAAAGGAUUAGGGUGCCGACACAUCGUCGCCAGCCGCAGGGUUGUGACACCUUGCUAGGUGCUCGCCGUGUCCUACAUCUCUGUAGGAACACGCCAGGCAGGAGCUCAGGCCCAUAUCCUUGCUCAAGUGCUUCCGAGUGAGGAAGACUGCGAGGGGUUGGACAUGCAAUGGCCUAGCGGAGUCGUCCGCGGCGCGCGGCCGCCGGUAUGGAGGCCCAGGCUCGGGCUUAACUCAGCAAGCUUUGGUGCUUAUUUAUUAAUAAUCAUGGGUUCUGACCAUGUCAGUAGCGUCCCCUUGUCGUCGACGGCGGCUCAGGAUCAACUGGGAGUUGAAUACUUAAGUGGUUCAGGAAAGCUUCAAAUGCAAUAGUGGCAAACAUCUCCAUUGAUGCUACAAAGCAUCUCGAUGAUUUUGAAGCGAAUCUCCAUGUUAAUUAGGGAGGCCACUACACCACGUUUUUACAAAUAAUUAAAACCUAAGCUUGCAUCUUUGGAACUUGGCUGAGUUGUAUAUCCACUCGAUGAGGCAAUUAUGAUAGGAGCAAAGCGGUGUUGUGAAUUCAAUAGAAAAUGACGCAAGCAACUAUAUAUGUCAAUGCAAUAACAAAGUUAAGUCGGUGCAAAAAGAAUAGGAUGUGAGAGCAAUUAAAAAGACAAGUUACAAUGGAAGUGAGCGAGCCAUAAAUUGAGCCAUUUUUUAUGAAUACAAAUGGAGAUUAUGCAAUCAAAAUUAUUGAGGCGGAAAUCUUAUCAUGUCGUGGCGAGGAAAAGCUAAAUAAGCAGUUGAUGCCUCAAAAAAUACCCAUACAAGAUAGUUUAAUGGUUAAUUACGUACCUAAUA